rnacentral:rRNA from 1 species
AUUGAACGCUGGCGGCAUGCUUUACACAUGCAAGUCGAACGGUAACAGGCCGCAAGGUGCUGACGAGUGGCGAACGGGUGAGUAAUGCAUCGGAACGUGCCCAGUCGUGGGGGAUAACGCAGCGAAAGCUGUGCUAAUACCGCAUACGAUCUAUGGAUGAAAGCGGGAGACCGUAAGGCCUCGCGCGAUUGGAGCGGCCGAUGUCAGAUUAGCUAGUUGGUGGGGUAAAGGCCCACCAAGGCGACGAUCUGUAGCUGGUCUGAGAGGACGACCAGACACACUGGGACUGAGACACGGCCCAGACUCCUACGGGAGGCAGCAGUGGGGAAUUUUGGACAAUUGGCGCAAGCCUGAUCCAGCAAUGCCGCGUGCAGGAAGAAGGCCUUCGGGUUGUAAACUGCUUUUGUACGGAACGAAACGGUCUGGGUUAAUACCCUGGGCUAAUGACGGUACCGUAAGAAUAAGCACCGGCUAACUACGUGCCAGCCGCCGCCGUAACAC